rnacentral:lncRNA from 1 species
UUCAGUCUUUCAGAAGUUACCAGAAUUUUAAUAAAUAACAGACCCUCUUCUGCCAUGGCAUCUUAUUGCUUGUUGCUGAAGAAACUGCUCAGGUACCAGAAAGCAGACAGAAGAACCCAGAGGGAAAACGUUGUAGAAAAACACAAUAUUAAUCCCAAUAAACACAUGAAUGGGGAGUCAGAAAAUCCAAUUUCCCAGCAAGCUGAAAUGGACACUCUGGAAAAUCUCAGAAAUCAUGACAGUAAGACUUUCCCUUCUGUAGUAACCCUGGCAGUGCCAGACGCUAUUCAACAAGAUGAGAUUGCAAUUACAUCUGAAAAACAGGAAAAACUGACAAAAGUUUCCAAGUUUGCAAACAGAGAGUUGGUUCAUCUUGGGCCUCCUACAUCAUCAAGCAAAACUACACUAUGUGGACCCACAUAUCAGCCACUUUUGGACUUCCAGGAGACUCUGAAGGAUUUUGAGGAUUUGACUGAAGCCAGAAAAUCAUGCCUUCAGGAAAGAUCACAGACCACAGCAGCAACCAACCAACCUCCUUCAAACAUCCAAGCAAUGACAAGCACAAGCAAAGUGCCUCCCCGCUCACUAAUGGCAAACAGAGCUAUUACCAGGAGUCCUUUGCCUCAGCAGGACAUGGGGUUUAAAGACCUUCUGAAGGCAGUAGAUGACAGUAUUUCCAUGCGAACACAAUGGCACGCUGGUAAAGAAGGCACCAACCUCCUAAUGACUGUGUCUCCCCAGAUCUCCCCUCUUCCCAGGCUGCAACAAAUUGCCCUGAGAGAAACCAAGGCUAGAAAGAUUUCCAGGCUUGAUGGAUCACAGCAACAUACAAAUAUCUGCCCGCUGAUUUUAGUCAAUGGUUCAAAACCACCAGCCUUCCCCAUGUCCCAUGAGCAAAUGCUUACUGUAAGAAGUAUGAAGCAGUCUAAAGAAAAAACAACUUAUUGUUGCAACAAGAAAGCUAAGAAAAACUUGAACCAACUCAGACAUACAUCGAAAACUACAGACCUAAAUCUUCCAGCUUUAUCUCCACCGUACCAAGCCAGGCUGGGGGAAAAAUCAGAGAUUCUAAGGUUAAAUUUUGCAUAAAUAAAGCACUCACAGAGCAUCAGAAGAAAACAAGUGGAAAGAGUGGGAAAGAAAUAAGGAUGGUCAGAAACCAAGGGAGAGGAGGAAGGAAGGAGAGGUUUAUCCAAUCUUAACAUAUGACAUCUCUAAACACAAAGAAGGAUGAUAUGUGUAUCCUCUGAUUUCUAUCACAUAUUGAGUUACAAAUUUUUCGGAGCACACCAAAGAUGCAGAAGAAUAAACACCGCUGUAACAGAACA